rnacentral:rRNA from 1 species
CCUACGGGUGGCAGCAGUGAGGAAUAUUGGUCAAUGGGCGCGAGCCUGAACCAGCAAAGUCGCGUGAAGGAUGACUGCCCUCCGAGUUGUAAACUUCUUUUAUAAAGGAAUACAGUGAGGCACGUGUGCCUUUUUGUAUGUACUUUAUGCAUAAGGAUCGGCUAACUCCGUGCCCGCAGCCGCGGUCAUACGUAGGAUUCGAGCGUUAUCCGGAUUUAUUGGGUUUAAAGGGAGCGUAGAGGGGUUGUUAAGUCAGUUGGGAAAGUGUGCGGGUCAACCGUAAAAUUGCAAUUGAUACUGGCAGCCUUGAGGACAGUUGAGGUAGGCGGAAUUCGUGGUGUAGCGGUGAAAUGCUUAGAUAUCACGAAGAACUCCGAUUGCGAAGGCAGCCUACUAAACUGCCACUGACAUUGAUGCUCGAAAGUGUGGGUAGCAAACAGGAUUAGAUACCCCGGUAGUC